GCAGCCUCAACUGAUAUAAAAAUGGAAAUAAAGCUGUGCCUCUUACUUCUCUUGGCAUUAACUGAACUCUCCCUUGGGUGUGGCUCCCCUCGCUCACCACCUCCAACAAAGAUCUCUUGUCAAACUCCCAAUGAUUGUCCACCGGGUUUAACUCUCUGCCAACGGAGAUCGAAAAGUCAGGAUAGCAAGAAAUGUUACAGUGCUUCGGAUAGUUCAAGACC